rnacentral:rRNA from 1 species
CAUCCUCCAAGGCUAAAUACUCCUGACUGACCGAUAGUGAACCAGUACCGUGAGGGAAAGGCGAAAAGAACCCCGGCGAGGGGAGUGAAAAAGAACCUGAAACCGUGUACGUACAAGCAGUGGGAGCACCCUUCGGGGUGUGACUGCGUACCUUUUGUAUAAUGGGUCAGCGACUUAUAUUCUGUAGCAAGGUUAACCGAAUAGGGGAGCCGAAGGGAAACCGAGUCUUAACUGGGCGUUAAGUUGCAGGGUAUAGACCCGAAACC